GUUGGUAUUGAUUGCGAUGAGUGUCCACCUGUUCCCAUCCCGAACACAGAAGUUAAGCUCAUAAGCGCCGACAAUACUUGGCGGGUGACUGCCCGGGAAGAUAGGUAAUGCCAACA
rnacentral:rRNA from 1 species